rnacentral:lncRNA from 1 species
AUCAAUAUAAACGCAGAUUGUAUGCAAGUAUACUUAUUGAUCGUUUAUAAAAAUGUUAAGAAACAAAUCCAAAUUUAUCUUUUAGAAAUGGAAAAUACAAUAUAUCAGGCAGAAAAAGUUGCUUUCCAUACAUUCGUUAUAUGUUUUUCUUUUUUAUUUCUAGACAUUUAUUCUAUAACACGUGCGUAUUUACUUUUUAUAUUUACCGUAGUAAUAAUCCAUACGAUUGAAUGUAUAUAUAAAAAAAGAGAGUGAGAAAUAGGCGAAAGGGGGAAGGUUAAAAUAUCGGCUGUGUUUAUAUCUCUUGGCAAAUUUCAGGAAAUUUCUUCUCCUUUAUCAAAUACACAUAGAAAAACUGUGUAAGGUAAACAAGAUGAAAGAAAGAGGUGUUUGACUCAUAUAUAAUAUUAAACAUUCUAUUUUUAUUUUGAACGAAGCCAUCGUAGAGACAAGAAGCAACGUGUUUUCACUCUCCUCGUGUUUAUACGAUCAUAAUCGAUGACGUGGGUGUCUGGAAAUUAGCGAUUAAAGGAAUGGCAAUCUGGUGGCAGUAACAGCAGAAAUAACGGCAGAAAUAGCAACCAGGAACGUUUCCUACGUCGUCACGCGACUCUCGUUAAUCCUGCCGAGCAGUAAAUCGAUCACGUUUAUGAUUUUUCCAUCGACGUGGUGCUCGAAACCGUAUAUAAGUUAGAAGAGUGUGUGCGUGUGUGUUAGUAACGCCGUCAUUCCUGACGUAUUCUCUCUCUCUCUCUCCCUCUAUUUUUAUUUUGUUUCGUUUUGUUUUUCACCUUCCGCAUAUGCACAUAAAAAAGUACACCCCCACCUACGUUUUGAUGAUAGGUAGUAUGGGUUUGCA